AUUGAACGCUGGCGGCAGGCCUAACACAUGCAAGUCGAACGGUAACAGGAAGCAGCUUGCUGCUUUGCUGACGAGUGGCGGACGGGUGAGUAAUGUCUGGGAAACUGCCCGAUGGAGGGGGAUAACUACUGGAAACGGUAGCUAAUACCGCAUAACGUCGCAAGACCAAAGAGGGGGACCUUAGGGCCUCUUGCCAUCGGAUGAGCCCAGAUGGGAUUAGCUAGUAGGUGGGGUAACGGCUCACCUAGGCGACGAUCCCUAGCUGGUCUGAGAGGAUGACCAGCCACACUGGAACUGAGACACGGUCCAGACUCCUACGGGAGGCAGCAGUGGGGAAUAUUGCACAAUGGGCGCAAGCCUGAUGCAGCCAUGCCGCGUGUAUGAAGAAGGCCUUCGGGUUGUAAAGUACUUUCAGCGGGGAGGAAGGGAGUAAAGUUAAUACCUUUGCUCAUUGACGUUACCCGCAGAAGAAGCGCCGGCUAACUCCGUG
rnacentral:rRNA from 1 species